rnacentral:lncRNA from 10 species
GCCUCCUGACGCCGGCGCAGCGUCGCCGGGGCGUCCCAGACCGCAGGCCCCGCGCGGCCGCCCAAGCCCGGCUCCCACGUCCCGCUCUCGGCUCCCCGGAGGUCGGAGACUUUGAGGUAUCUCCACGUCAAACCUUCAUGAGGCGACACCGCAAGUAGCUGCUGAGGACGUAGCGGAUCCUCUCCAUCUCCAUUUGGUGGAUGCUGACCUUCAGGUCCUCCCUUUUGGCUCUCCUGAGAUUUUCUUCCUAUUAAAUGAGAAAUUAAGGUUUAUAAAAAACAUGAUGUUCAACCAUCAUCACCGGCAACGUUGAGGACCCAGACUAUGUUUCAGUCCAAGGAAAACAAAAAUAUCAUGUUUUAUGCUUGAAAUGGCUACAUCUGGUUUCUGGUCACACAGUGGCAUGAUAAUGGCUCACUGCAUUCUUGACCUCCAAGGCUUAAGUGAUCCUCCUGCCUCAGCCUCCAGAGUAGCUGGGACUAAAGGUACAUACCACAAAGCCUGGCUAAUUUUUAAAUUUUUUUUAAUAAAGAUGGGGUUUUACCAUGUUGCCUACAGUGGUCUUCGAAAUCCUGGCCUCAUGACAUCCCCCUGCAUUAGCCUCCAGAAGUGUUGGGAUUACAGGCUUGAACCACUGUGCCUGGCCCCUGAUCAAAAUUCUAAAUGCCAAUCUGUUCAUUAUUGCUACGGGCUGAAGUGUGUCCGCCCCUCAAAAAUCUACCUAACUUCCAGGACCUCAGACCGUGACUGUAUUUGGAGAUGGAGGUCUUUAAAGAAGUGAUUAAGUUAAAAUGAGGUCAUUAGGAUGGCCCCUAAUCCAGUAAGACUGGUGCCCUGAUAAGGGGUAAUUUUAACACAGACACACACGAGAGGGAAGACCAUGCAAGGACACAGGGAGAAUAUGGUCACCUACAAACCCAAGACAGAGGACUCGGAAGAAGACAACUAUGCUGGCACUUUGACCUCAGCCUCUAGAAUUAAGAAAAUAAAUUUCUAUUUAAGCCACCCAGUCUUUGGGACUUCGCUCUGUGGCCCUAGCAAACUAAAACAAUCACUAAAAUGAGCAAAUCUGCACUACAGGUAACAACUUUUAAAUCACUUUUUACAGGCAUUAAAGGGUAUCCUAUAUAUGCUCCUGGAGCUGUUCUCAUCAGCAGCCCUGUCAGGCUGUCCCUUUGGCUGUGCCACACAGCAUAAGAGACAGGAUCUGGCUGUGGCAGCCGUGCAGGUGGCGGGUCACUUCCUUGGCUGCACUCAGGGCACUGCACUAGAGCAUCAGGCAUGAGAUGUUACUGCAGCUUACCCACCAGCAAGCUGCAGCUGUGCUGUCAGAACCCCCGCCGCC